CCUACGGGGGGCUGCAGUGGGGAAUUUUGCGCAAUGGGCGAAAGCCUGACGCAGCAACGCCGCGUGAGUGAUGAAGGCUUUCGGGUCGUAAAGCUCUGUCAGGGGGAAAGAAGUGUAUUAUGGUUAAUACCCAUGAUACUUGACGGUACCCCCAAAGGAAGCACCGGCUAACUCCGUGCCAGCAGCCGCGGUAAUACGGAGGGUGCGAGCGUUGUUCGGAAUUAUUGGGCGUAAAGCGCGUGUAGGCGGUUUAUUAAGUCUGAUGUGAAAGCCCCGGGCUCAACCUGGGAAGUGCAUUGGAAACUGGUAGACUUGAAUACGGGAGAGGGCAGUGGAAUUCCUGGUGUAGGAGUGAAAUCCGUAGAUAUCAGGAGGAACACCGGUGGCGAAGGCGGCUGCCUGGACCGAUAUUGACGCUGAGACGCGAAAGCGUGGGUAGCAAACAGGAUUAGAUACCCCUGUAGUC
rnacentral:rRNA from 1 species